UACCUGCAGCUCAAGUGGUGACCAUUAUUAUUGGGCCUAAAACGUCCGUAGCCGGCUUAGUAAAUGCCUGGGUAAAUCGUGUAGCUUAACUAUACGAAUUCCGGGUAGACUGUUAAGCUUGAGACCGGGAGAAGCUAGAGGUACUCCUGGGGUAGAGGUGAAAUUCUGUAAUCCUAGGGGGACCACCAGUGGCGAAGGCGUCUAGCUAGAACGGAUCUGACGGUGAGGGACGAAGCCCUGGGGCACAAACCGGAUUAGAUACCCGGGUAGUCCAGGGUGUAAACGCUGCUUGCUUGAUGUUAGUUGGGCUCCGAGCCCAACUAGUGUCGGAGAGAAGUUGUUAAGCAAGCUGCCUGGGAAGUACGGUCGCAAGGCUGAAACUUAAAGGAAUUGGCGGGGGAGCACAGCAACGGGUGGAGCGUGCGGUUU
rnacentral:rRNA from 1 species